rnacentral:pre_miRNA from 1 species
AAUAGGAGAAUGAUAGAUUAGAUUUUUUCUCUUGUUUUUUAACUUUUUUCUUAUAAAAAUUUAAAUCUAACUAAAAAUGUUAAAAAUCAACGAGGAAAAAAAUUAAUUUGUCAUUCUUCUAUU